rnacentral:rRNA from 1 species
GCAUAUCAAUAAGCGGAGGAAAAGAAACCAACCGGGAUUGCYUUAGUAACGGCGAGUGAAGCGGCAAAAGCUCAAAUUUGAAAUCUGGUACCUUCGGUGCCCGAGUUGUAAUUUGGAGAGGGCAACUUUGGGGCCGUUCCUUGUCUAUGUUCCUUGGAACAGGACGUCAUAGAGGGUGAGAAUCCCGUGUGGCGAGGAGUGCGGUUCUUUGUAAAGUGCCUUCGAAGAGUCGAGUUGUUUGGGAAUGCAGCUCUAAGUGGGUGGUAAAUUCCAUCUAAAGCUAAAUAUUGGCGAGAGACCGAUAGCGAACAAGUACAGUGAUGGAAAGAUGAAAAGAACUUUGAAAAGAGAGUGAAAAAGUACGUGAAAUUGUUGAAAGGGAAGGGCAUUUGAUCAGACAUGGUGUUUUGUGCCCUCUGCUCCUUGUGGGUGGGGGAAUCUCGCAUUUCACUGGGCCAGCAUCAGUUUUGGUGGCAGGAUAAAUGCAUAGGAAUGUAGCUUGCCUCGGUAAGUAUUAUAGCCUGUGGGAAUACUGCCAGCUGGGACUGAGGACUGCGACGUAAGUCAAGGAUGCUGGCAUAAUGGUUAUAUGCCGCCCGUCUUGAAACACGGACCAAGGAGUCUAACGUCUAUGCGAGUGUUUGGGUGUAAAACCCAUACGCGUAAUGAAAGUGAACGUAGGUUGGGGCCUCGCAAGAGGUGCACAAUCGACCGAUCCUGAUGUCUUCGGAUGGAUUUGAGUAAGAGCAUAGCUGUUGGGACCCGAAAGAUGGUGAACUAUGCCUGAAUAGGGUGAAGCCAGAGGAAACUUCUGGUGGAGGCUUCGUAGCGGUUUCUGACGUGCAAAUCGAUUCGUCGAAAUUUGGGUAAUAGGGGCGAAAGACUAAUCCAACCCAUCUHGUASCUKGUUCCUGCCGAA